CGAUAGCUUAUACGUCCUACAGAUUAGAAAAGAACAAAAAUGGAAGCUCGACAAAUAUUCAGUACCAAUGCACAGCUGGAGUUCCCGCCACCUACAUUGAGCAGAGAUGGGCAUGAACUUUCCUCGUCACAGAAAACAACUGAUGGAGAAAGAUGAAUCGGGUUUCUCAACUAUCCCAGGAGCUGCAUAGCAUUGGAAGAAAAUCAUGGAGAUGAGCCAAUGCAAAGCAUUGCUGGUCAUGGCGAUUCAUGAAAGGGCAGAGCAAAAAAACAAAGGGAUCCAUCACAAGCUCAUACAGAACUCAUGUGAUGCCGCCAAUGUCCGGUGGCGACAUCGUCCCGUCUGCUUCUUUAUCUCCGACACGAGCAGGUUAGGAAACAACCCAGAACC